GUCUAUGACCAUACUACCCUGAAUGCGCCCGAUCUCAUCUGAUUUCUGGAAGCUAAGCAGGGUUGGGCCUGGUUAGUACUUGGAUGGGAGAAAGUUCCAGGGCAUGUUUC
rfam:Otolemur garnettii contig016937, whole genome shotgun sequence.